ensembl:lncRNA
UCUUUUUGUUCAGUGCUCAGCCAUUUUAGACACAGAGUCUGCUGAGCUGGUGUAUACACCUUAAAUAAAUCAUCCUGACUCCCAGUUGGUCUUCCUGUCUCUUGGAAUUCUGCAACAAUGUGGUGUCAGGAUUAAACGAGAUUCAAGAUCUACAGUCUACAGCCUGUCCCCAGCACGGAGCUAGUGUAAUGAUGCUUAUUACAGCCUCGCGCAGCAGCUCGGUACCAGCGCUCCAUCCCCGCCGCCCGCAGCGCCGCGACGCCUUCUUCUCACCCAUCUCGGGGACCCCAGUCAUAACUGACAUUUAAAGGAAAUAAACAUGGACUUUAAAAAUCACUACACCCGGUCGCAGUGAAAAACAGAACUGGCUGGCGGCUGUCGGGUCUCG